GACGAACGCUGGCGGGAUGCCUUACACAUGCAAGUCGAACGGAGUGGCGGACGGGUGCGGAAUGUAUCGGCACGUGCCCAGUCGCGGGGGAUAACUACGCGAACGGGUAGCUAAUGCCGCAUACUAUUGGAGCGGCCGAUAUCGGAUUAGCUUGUUGGUGGGGUAACGGCUCACCAAGGCGACGAUCCGUAGCUGGUUUGAGAGGACGACCAGCCACACUGGGACUGAGACACGGCCCAGACUCCUACGGGAGGCAGCAGUGGGGAAUUUUGGACAAUGGGGGAAACCCUGAUCCAGCCAUCCCGCGUGUGCGAAGAAGGCCUUCGGGUUGUAAAGCACUUUUGGCAGGAAAGCGGUACCUGCAGAAUAAGCACCGGCUAACUACGUGCCAGCAGCCGCGGUAAUUC
rnacentral:rRNA from 1 species